UGGAUAGACUUACUACGGACAUUACUAUGGAUGUCAAAAUAUUUGAGCUGAGACUGAGGUGAUGAAAAGGAACCGGACAUACAGACAUCUGGGAGAAAGUUGUUUCAGGAAGAGACAACAGAAGGUGCAAAGUUCCAGACUUUUGAGUGAGGUUGGCAUGCUUCAGGAACCAAAAGAGGUCCACCUACGUGUCUGACCUACGGCAAGGGAAGUGGAUAUCUCAGGAGGCAUGUGGGAUCUCAACUCCCCAACCAGAGACUGAGUCCACCACACCCCCUGCAUUGGAAGGUGAAGUCAACCACUGGACCACUGGGAUCCAGCUUUGCCCAGGGAUCAAACCCAAGCCGCCUCCAUUGGGAAGUGGGAGCCUUAGCCGCUGGACCACCGGGGACAUCCCUCUCACUGUCAUUUUGAUUCAAUUUCCCUGCUGCUGCUGCUGCUGCUAAGUCGCUUCAGUCGCGUCUGACUCUGUGCGACCCCAGAGACGGCAGCCCACCAGGUUCCCCCGUCCCUGGGAUUCUCCAGGCAAGAACACUGGAGGGGGUUGCCAUUUCCUUCUCCAAUGCAUGAAAGUGAAAAGUGAAAGUGAAGUCGCUCAGUCGUGUCCGACUCCUAGCGACCCCAUGGACUGCAGCCUACCAGGCUCCUCCAUCCAUGGGAUUUGCCAGGCAAGAGUACUGGAGUGGGGUGCCAUUGCCCUCUCCCUAAUGACUAGCAAUUUGGCACAGUUUUUCAUGUGUAUAUUUGUCAGAUACAUAUCUUCUUUGAUGUCAUGUCUGUUCAAAUCUUUAGCUCAUUUUUCUACUGGGUUGUUUGUUUUUUAUUAUUGAGUUUUAAGAUACUACUGUUGACUGAAUUGUGUCCCCACAAAUUCAUACGUUGAAGCACUAACCCCCUAUCCCACUACUUCAUGUAUUUGGAAACAGAAGUUUUAGAGGUUAAUUAAGAUUAAUGAGGUCAUAAGGUUGGAGUCUAAGAAUUGGUGGCCUUACAGGAAGGUAGUGCCUGGGCCCUGAGGACAGGCUUUGUGAGGACACGGGAAACAGGCUGAUGCUACGGGCCAGAAAUAGAGUCCUCACCAGCGCUCAGCCCUGCUGGCACUCUGAUCUCAGAUUUCUAGACUCCAGAACUGAGAGAAAAUAAAUUUCUGCUGGUUAAGCCACCCAGUCAAUGGAAUUUUUGUUAUGAAUCCUGAGCACACGAGAUGGAUUACAUAUAUCUGAUACGUAUGGAUAUGUAGACAUACACCCACAUGUAUGUAACAUAUGCAUUUUUCUUAUUACAAGCCCUUAUGAGAUAUAUGCUUUGCAAAUACUUUCUCACAGUCUCAGGCUUUUCCUUCCAUUUUAAAAACUGUUUAUAGAAGAACAGAUGUUUUUAGUUUUGAUAAAGUUCAAUUUAUUAAUUCUUUCCUUUUGGAAACAUGCUUUGUGUGUCAAAUAUAAGAAAACAUCGCCUAACUCAAGGUCCCAAAGAUUUUCUCCUGUGUUUUCCCUUAGGAAUUUUAUAGGUUUAUGUUUUAGGUUUCAGUCUGUAAUUAAUUUUGAGUUAAUUUGUGUUUCAUGCAAAGUAUGAAGCAAAGUACAGUGGGGGUUUUCUUCAUGUAGAAAUACAGUCACUACAUAUUGUAGCUUUAUAAUAAAUUUUGAAGUCAUGUAGUGUUAGUCUUCCAACUGUAUUCUUCUUUUUUCAAAGUUGUUUUGGCUACUGUAGGUCUGCAUUUCUAAAUAAAUUUUGGGAUCACUGUGAUUUUCUUUUUUAAAAUAUUUAUUUUGCUGCACAGGGUCUUAGUUGCAGACUAUGGGAUCUUAGUUCCCUGACCAGGGACUGAACUCGGGCCCCUUGCAUUUGGAGCAUGGAGUCUUAACCACUGGACACCCAGGGAAAUUCCUCAAUUAAAAAAAUAUAUAUAUCUGCUGGGAUUUUGAUUGAGAUUUCAUUGAAUAUAUACACCACUUGGGGGGAAUUAACAUUUUAGCAAUGGUGGGUGUUUCUGAUCUUUGAACACAGUGCAUGCGUGCUAGGUCACUUCAGUUGUGUCCACCUCUUCAGGACACUAUGGACUGUAGCAUGCCAGGCUCCUCUGUCCAUGGGAUUAUCCAGGCAAGAAUACUGGAGUGGAUUGCCGUGCCCUCCUCCAGUGGAUCUUCUCCACCCAGGGAUCAAACCUGUACCUCCUGCAUUGCAGGUACAUUCUUUACCCCUGAGCCACCAGGAAAGCCCCUUGAACACAGUAUGUCUCUCUAUUCACUUAGGCAUUUUUGCCAGAUUUAUCCCUAUGUAUUUCAUUUUUUGAAUGUCAUGUAAAUGAUUUUAAAAAUUGUUUCAGUUUCCAUUUAUUCAUUACUAGUAAAUAAAUAUACGAGUUUAAAAAUAUCAACCUUGUGUUCUGCAAACCUGCUUAAUUCACUUACUAGUUCUAAUGGCUAUUUGGGGGUAAAUUCCAUCAGGUUUUCUAUCCAUACAGUCAUAUCAUCUAUGAAUAAAGACAGUUUUAUUUCUCCCUUUCCAAACUAGAUGUUUCUUUUUUUUCUCUUG
ensembl:lncRNA